GAGUAAUGUCUGGGAAACUGCCUGAUGGAGGGGGAUAACUACUGGAAACGGUGGCUAAUACCGCAUAACGUCGCAAGACCAAAGAGGGGGACCUUCGGGCCUCUUGCCAUCAGAUGUGCCCAGAUGGGAUUAGCUUGUUGGUGAGGUAACGGCUCACCAAGGCGACGAUCCCUAGCUGGUCUGAGAGGAUGACCAGCCACACUGGAACUGAGACACGGUCCAGACUCCUACGGGAGGCAGCAGUGGGGAAUAUUGCACAAUGGGCGCAAGCCUGAUGCAGCCAUGCCGCGUGUAUGAAGAAGGCCUUCGGGUUGUAAAGUACUUUCAGCGGGGAGGAAGGUGUUGUGGUUAAUAACCGCAGCAAUUGACGUUACCCGCAGAAGAAGCACCGGCUAACUCCGUGCCAGCAGCCGCGGUAAUACG
rnacentral:rRNA from 1 species